CUCAAUGAAUUUUAUAUAGCCGCAAUAUUGUGCUAAGGUAGCAUAAUCAUUUGUUUUUUAAUUAAAAACCAGAACGAAAGAUUUAACAUUUUCAUUCCUUUCUUACAUAUAAAAAUUCAAUUUAUUUUAAAUAUUAAAAAAUAUUUAUUAAUUAAAAAGACGAUAAGACCCUAUCGAACUUAACUAAAGUUUAACUGGGGUAGUUAAUUAAACACAAUUUUAAUUCAAUUUCAAUAAAUUCCUAAUAAAAUUAAAAUAAUCAAGUUACCGUAGGGAUAACAGCGUAAUAAAUUUCAUAAGAUCUUAUUUAAAAAUUUGCUUACGACCUCGAUGUUGAAUUAAUAAUCUAUUAAAUGCAAUAAUUUAAUAAAGAAAGUCUGUUCGACUU
rnacentral:rRNA from 1 species